CCUACGGGAGGCAGCAGUGGGGAAUAUUGCACAAUGGGCGAAAGCCUGAUGCAGCCAUGCCGCGUGUGUGAAGAAGGCUCUAGGGUUGUAAAGCACUUUCAGUGGGGAGGAAAAGUUUAAGAUUAAUACUCUUGAACCUUGACGUUACCUGCAGAAGAAGCACCGGCAAACUCCGUGCCAGCAGCCGCGGUAAU
rnacentral:rRNA from 1 species